UACGUACUGGGCGAACGUUAUUCGGAAUCACUGGGCUUAAAGGGUGCGUAGGCGGUUUAGCAAGUCAGGUGUGAAAUCUCUCGGCUCAACCGAGGAACUGCGCUUGAAACUGCUAGACUCGAGUCAGCUAGGGGUCCGCGGAACUUCCAGUGGAGCGGUGAAAUGUGUUGAGAUUGGAAGGAACGCCGGUGGCGAAAGCGGCGGACUGGGGCUUGACUGACGCUGAGGCACGAAAGCCAGGGGAGCGAACGGG
rnacentral:rRNA from 1 species